UACGGAGGGUGCAAGCGUUAUCCGGAUUCACUGGGUUUAAAGGGUGCGUAGGUGGGCAGGUAAGUCAGUGGUGAAAUCCCCGAGCUUAACUUGGGAACUGCCAUUGAUACUAUUUGUCUUGAAUACUGUGGAGGUUAGCGGAAUAUGUCAUGUAGCGGUGAAAUGCUUAGAUAUGACAUAGAACAUCAAUUGCGAAGGCAGCUGGCUACACAAAUAUUGACACUGAGGCACGAAAGCGUGGGGAUCAAACAGG
rnacentral:rRNA from 1 species